rnacentral:ncRNA from 1 species
CGAACGACGAUGACGGGAAGAGUAGGCUUGCCAUCCUUAUGACAGAGAGCCGGGGUAGCUGCGAACCGGUAUAAGCGAUCAAGCCGAACAUGGCCCCCGAGUCUCGCGGAUGAACCGCCGUUUCCGGCGCCAAGUAGUCUGCGACGCAAGCCUGCGUUACGGGUGAGUCAGCAGCAGUCUGACUCGACAAGUCCGCUGUUCGCGAGAAGGCGGAGCAUUUGGGUGGUACCACGAGAACAAGGCUCGUCCCAAUC